GCAAACUUGGUCAUUUAGAGGAAGUAAAAGUCGUAACAAGGUUUCCGUAGGUGAACCUGCGGAAGGAUCAUUAACGAAUAACACUUGAUGGGUUGUUGCUGGUCUCUAGGGACAUGUGCACGCCUGUCUUUGUUCUAUUCAUCCACCUGUGCACUAUUUGUAGACUUUCAGGGACUGAAAACGGUUGUCACUCAGUCGCAAGAUUGGAAGAGGGGAUUGCAUUGUACGCAAGUGCGUGCUCUCCUCAAUUUGAGACAUCGUAAUCUUCCUAUGAAGUCUAUGUCUUUCAUAUAAACCAUGUAGAAUGUCGCAGAAUGUAUUUAUUAGGCCCUAGUGCCUAUAAAACUAUAUACAACUUUCAGCAACGGAUCUCUUGGCUCUCGCAUCGAUGAAGAACGCAGC
rnacentral:misc_RNA from 1 species